GUCUAUGGCCAUACCACCCUGAACAAGCUCAAUCCAUUCUGAUCUCGGAAGCUAAGCAGGGUCAGGCCUGGUUAAUACUUGGAUGGGAGAUCACCUAGGAAGACCAGGUGCUGUAGGCA
rnacentral:rRNA from 1 species